rnacentral:rRNA from 1 species
AACGAACGCUGGCGGCAGGCCUAACACAUGCAAGUCGAACGCGUGUAGCAAUACACGAGUGGCGCACGGGUGAGUAAUACGUGGGAACCAACCCUGAGGUUCGGAAUAACUGCGGGAAACUGCAGCUAAUACCGGAUGAUCCCCAACGGGGACGAAAGAAUUUAUUCGCCUUCGGGACGGGGCCCACGUCCGAUUAGCUAGUUGGUGAGGUAACGGCUCACCAAGGC